UUUACAGAGGAGCCUCAAUCAGACACCUUAGCAGAAGAAAACACCUUUGUGUUCUCACAAAGUCCAAUUUCCCAGUCUCCUCUUACUCGGACUCAAAGUCCUUCUGAUCAGUUUCAAUCAAUAGAAGAUUUUCUAGAAAACUACAAUGGUCGAAAGCCUCUUAUCGGUCUACAAGCUGUUAUUAAGUGCCAGAGCGUGGAUGGGAAUCCACCUCCAUGCUGUUACCUGUGUCAGCUGUGCUCUUUGAAGCUGAAGAAGAAAAAAAUAUUCAGCCAUCUGACUGGCUGUGAUCACCAGCGAAACUACUUAAAAGCUCUCCAUCCACAGCUCUUGCCUAAAAAGCGUAAACACUGCAACACAAAUGAGAUGCUUGAGGAUAUUGCUAUCCAACUGGAGAAAGAGGAUGGAAGAGGACAUAUAAAGGUGAUGAGGUUGUCUGCAUGUCUCAUAAGUGAGGUACUGGAAAAGGAUUAUCAUUGGUGCAUGAGGGUGUUGAACUGUGGAGCCGAUGUGGGGUGGAGAUCAGGUCUGUUGUCUUUCAAGGAAGGAACUAACAACACUACAGGUCCCAGUCAUACUCUUAAACGGCCAGCAGAGUCUGUGCUGCCCCCUUCUGAUAACAGCACCACUGGUCCCAGUCAGACUCUUAAACGUCCAGCAGAGUCUAUGCUGCCCCCUUCUGAUGCACGUGCUUUUAUAGCUCCUGCCGGAGCUCCAACCCAUCAGAUGUCCAAAAAAAUGAAGAAGGGUCAUCCUAAGAAAGUAGUAUGUACAAACAAAGUUAAGGAGCCUGUGUUUAAGGUAAGCCUGUCACUGCAGGAGGGACCUGUUAUCAUUGAGAGAACAUCUCUAAGAGAGACAACCACAGUGGCGCCUGAGAUCGAAGACCAAAGCCCUGCAACCACAUGCGCAGACGAUGCACUGCCUUUAGCGACUAACACGCAUUCUGAAGUUCAAAUGUGCUUUCACAGCUGUAUGUAUGAGGAACAGUUCACUAAUCCUGUUCAUUAUGCAUACUCAGGGCAGUUUGACCAGUCUCAAGUUAUUCAAUAUUUCGAGCCUUCUCUCAGACCUAGGGACUGUGGUCCAGUGGAUGAGGUGGUCACUGUCACGUAUGCUGAUUGGCCGCUGCAGGACUGGUCCUGCAAUAACAACCAGUGGAUUGUAAUGAGGCAAAACAGGGAUGGAAGUGAUCUUCCUUCUGAGUGUGCAAGUUACAUUCAGUACUGAUGAGAAUGAGUCUUGAAGCAUCAACAAAAAAGAUGAAUCAACAAAAGAAGAUGCUGAGAAAUGAUUUAGCAACAGAAUUCUGUCCAAACUGUUUUGUUUUUUUUUGUUGUUUUUUUGUCGUCAAAACCUACGCUUUAAUUUUUUUUUUGUUCAGAAUUUAUUGGAUUUUUCAUCAGUAUUAUUCAUUUAACUUCCUCCAUCAAAAAGACAUUAUUUGUUAGUUACUUCCUG
rnacentral:lncRNA from 1 species